AUAUACACUGGGGACAGUGUAAUUUAAGUCUGGGGGGAUGUUUAUUGAUAUUUGCUUAUCUAUUGAGUUUUAUAAAAUGUUUUCAAAACUGUUUUUAUUGAGUCAAGAAGGGGAUAAUGAAUUUAUUAAAUAUAUGCUUGUUAUCUAACCACUCUUUAGCACCAUUCUAGACUUACUGAUUGCAAAUAGUACUAAAGAUACUAAAGUGGAUCAACCUGUCAACUAUGUUCACACUUGUUGAGAUUGUUCGAAGGAACCGAAGCUGACCUCUAACCUAAUUUGACUUAACUGCUUGUCUUGGGGCUUGGUAUACACUGGAUCGGAUUCCUCCUUCAGGUCUGAAAGGUAAAAGACUGAGUGAUUUUGGUUUCCUUAUCUCCUCCCUUUGGCAUCCUAAUAAAAUAAAAUAAAUGAUUGAGAUGAUUUCUUGCGGUUUAGAGGGGUAGGUACAUUACCGAUGACCCCAUUUUUCUACUCUAAUAGAAUGAUCACACGUUGUUGGAAGCGAGGGGUAGGUACAUUACCGAUGACCCCACUAUUCGCCUACACUUUGUCAAGGAAAAGAAAAAGAAAAAAAUAAUAAUAAUAAAAAAAAAUCGAAAAGAAGGUGAAUAAGAUGGACUGCAUCAGCAUCUUUGUUCAUUGGAAUUGAGAUAAAAAGGAUUCGGAGAAGGGAGAUAUAGAGUAAAAGAAACCAGAACAAGACUACCUGUUUACUCAGAUACUUGUUGGGGUAAGAGUCCAUGUGUCUUGUGAUCGAUACUCCCAAGGUAAAGCAUACACAUUUAUUUAUGUUAAGAAAUGAGGUUGGUAGAUGGGAAUGUCAGACAUGAUUUGCUAAGAUGUUGGCUAGGUGAAUUUGGUUGCUAAGCUAGGAUAUUGUAUAAUGUGCUUCUGUGAUUAGGACUUCUUAGAUGUGGAUUGCAAUAUUGUAGAGGUGAUGAUUCUAAGUUUUAAAUCAUGUGAGUCCCUGCUGUUUUCAAAACCUCUUUCAGAGAGACUGCCCGUCUGUUUUGCUUGAGGAAAAGCAAAAAGGUAAGUCUGGGGGAGUUGAUAGAUCAUAUGUUUUACACGAACACACAUGGACAAACAUGGACACACACGGACAACCAC
rnacentral:lncRNA from 1 species